GGGAGUCUUUAAAACGCAGGAAAUAGGACCCUAAGGGAAAACUAGCUUCUACCUAACCUCCGGCAAGGGGACUUGGCUGGCCAUAAUGCCCAAUGGACAGUAUAGUGGGUAAGCUAACUAGGGAGAUCCAACGGUUUGAAGGUGCCCGCCAAAGGGACUGAACAGGCCAAAUUCUACGGAAGCACAUGGGGAUAUGCACAAUGGGGCAACCUUAUGAGGCAUGCCGCGUGUAGAAAAAGCCUUACGGUUUGUAAGCUACUUUCACCAGGAAGAAAGUCGAUGUGGUUAAUCCCCACGUCGAUGGACGUUACCCGCAGAAUAAGCACCGGCUAACUCCGUGCCAGCAGCCGCGGUAAUACGGAGGGUGCAAGCGUUAAUCGGAAUUACUGGGCGUAAAGCGCACGCAGGCGGUCUGUCAAGUCGGAUGUGAAAUCCCCGGGCUCAACCUGGGAACUGCAUCCGAAACUGGCAGGCUAGAGUCUGGUAGAGGAUGGUAGAAUUCCAGGUGUAGCGGUGAAAUGCGUAGAGAUCUGGAGGAAUACCGAUGGCGAAGGCGGCCCUCUGGCCGAAGACUGACGCUGAGGUGCGAAAGCAUGGGGAGCAAACAGGAUUAGAUACCCUGGUAGUCCACGCCGUAAACGAUGUCGACUAGCAGUUUGGGCCCUUGAGGCUUGGCUUCCGGAGCUAACGCGAUAAGUAGACCGCCUGGGGAGUACGGCCGCAAGGUUAAAACUCAAAUGAAUUGACGGGGGCCCGCACAAGCGGUGGAGCAUGUGGUUUAAUUCGAUGCAACGCGAAGAACCUUACCUGGUCUUGACAUCCUCAGAACUUUCCAGAGAUGGAUUGGUGCCUUCGGGAACUGAGAGACAGGUGCUGCAUGGCAGUCGUCAGCUCGUGUCGUGAAAUGUUGGGUUAAGUCCCGCAAUGAGCGCAACCCUUAUCCUUAGUGGCCAGCGUCCGUGUAGGUACUCGUAGGAGGCUGCACGG
rnacentral:rRNA from 1 species